AUAUCAAUAAGCGGAGGAAAAGAAACUAACAAGGAUUCCCCUAGUAACUGCGAGUGAAGCGGGAAAAGCUCAAAUUUAAAAUCUGGCAGCCCUCUGGCUGUCCGAGUUGUAAUCUAGAGAAGUGUUAUCCGCGCUGGACCGUGUACAAGUCUCCUGGAAUGGAGCGUCAUAGAGGGUGAGAAUCCCGUCUUUGACACGGACUGCCAGGGCUCUGUGAUGCGCUCUCUAAGAGUCGAGUUGUUUGGGAAUGCAGCUCAAAAUGGGUGGUAAAUUCCAUCUAAAGCUAAAUAUUGGCGAGAGACCGAUAGCGAACAAGUACCGUGAGGGAAAGAUGAAAAGAACUUUGGAAAGAGAGUUAAACAGUACGUGAAAUUGCUGAAAGGGAAACGCUUGAAGUCAGUCGCGUUGGCCAGGGAUCAACCUUGCUUUUGCUUGGUGUACUUUCUGGUUGACGGGUCAGCAUUAAUUUUGAUCAUUGGAAAAAGAUUAGGGGAAUGUGGCAUCUUCGGAUGUGUUAUAGCCCUUGGUUGCAUACAAUGGUUGGGAUUGAGGAACUCAGCACGCCGCAAGGCCGGGUUUUUAACCACGUACGUGCUUAGGAUGCUGGCAUAAUGGCUUUAAUCGACCCGUCUUGAAACACGGACCAAGGAGUCUAACAUGCCUGCGAGUGUUUGGGUGGAAAACCCGAGCGCGCAAUGAAAGUGAAAGUUGAGAUCCCUGUCGUGGGGAGCAUUGACGCCCGGACCAGAACUUUUGUGACGGUUCUGCGGUAGAGCAUGUAUGUUGGGACCCGAAAGAUGGUGAACUAUGCCUGAAUAGGGUGAAGCCAGAGGAAACUCUGGUGGAGGCUCGUAGCGAUUCUGACGUGCAAAUCGAUCGUCAAAUUUGGGUAUAGGGGCGAAAGACUAAUCGAACCAUCUAGUAGCUG
rnacentral:rRNA from 2 species